rnacentral:rRNA from 1 species
GAUGAACGCUGGCGGCGUGCUUAACACAUGCAAGUCGAACGGAAAGGCUCCUGCUUGCAGGGGUACUCGAGUGGCGAACGGGUGAGUAACACGUGGGUGAUCUGCCCUGCACUUCGGGAUAAGCCUGGGAAACUGGGUCUAAUACCGGAUAGGACCACAUUUUGGAUGGUGUGGUGGAAAGUUUUUCGGUGUGGGAUGAGCUCGCGGCCUAUCAGCUUGUUGGUGGGGUAAUGGCCUACCAAGGCGUCGACGGGUAGCCGGCCUGAGAGGGUGUACGGCCACAUUGGGACUGAGAUACGGCCCAGACUCCUACGGGAGGCAGCAGUGGGGAAUAUUGCACAAUGGGCGCAAGCCUGAUGCAGCGGCGCCGCGUGGGGGAUGACGGCCUUCGGGUUGUAAACUCCUUUCGCUAGGGACGAAGCGCAAGUGACGGUACCUGGAGAAGAAGCACCGGCUAACUACGUG